CGGCUCGGUGGUGCCGGCACCCUGGCCGCGCCCGACCUGCGGGGUCGGGGUGGCAGCGCGGGGCUGCCCGGGCCGU
rnacentral:tRNA from 1 species